GACGAACGCUGGCGGCGCGCUUAACACAUGCAAGUCGAGCGAAGCGGCGGACGGGUGAGUAACACGUGAGUAACCUGCCUUAGACAUUGGGAUAGCCUCGGGAAACCGGGAUUAAUACCAAAUGGUCUAAGAUGGACUCGCGUCCCAUUAGCUAGUUGGUAGGUAACGGCCCACCAAGGGGACAACGGGUAGCCGGCGGAAGAGGGUGACCGGCCACAUUGGAACUGAGAAACGUUCCAAACUCUACGGAAGGCAGCAGUGGGGAAUAUUGCAAAAUGGAGGGAACUCUGAUGCGGCGACGCCGCGUGAACGAAGAAGGCUUUCGAGUCGUAAAGUGCUUUUAUAUGGGAAGCGGUACCAUAAGAAAAAGCCCCGGCUAACUACGUGCCAGCAGCCGCGGUAAUAC
rnacentral:rRNA from 1 species